GUGGGGAAUAUUCCGCAAUGGACGAAAGUCUGACGGAGCAACGCCGCGUGAGUGAUGAAGGUUUUCGGACUGUAAAGCUCUGUUGUUUAGGACGAAAGUGCCUGUUGCAAAUAGUUACAGGUAUUGACGGUACUGAACGAGGAAGCCACGGCUAACUACGUGCCAGCAGCCGCGGUAAUACGUAGGUGGCAAGCGUUGUCCGGAAUUAUUGGGCGUAAAGAGCAUGUAGGCGGGAAUCUAAGUCUGUUGUGAAAAUGCGGGGCUCAACCCCGUAUUGCGAUGGAAACUGGGUUUCUUGAGUGCAGGAGAGGAAAGGGGAAUUCCCAGUGUAGCGGUGAAAUGCGUAGAUAUUGGGAGGAACACCAGUGGCGAAGGCGACUUACUGGGCCGUAACUGACGCUGAGGCGCGAAAGCGUGGGGAGCGAACAGGAUUAGAUACCCGGGUAGUCC
rnacentral:rRNA from 1 species